GACGAACGCUGGCGGCGUGCCUAAUACAUGCAAGUCGAACGCAGUGGGGACGGGUGAGUAACACGUGGGUAACCUCCCAUCAGAGGGGAUAACACUUGGAAACAGGUGCUAAACCGAUACUGAUGGAUGGACCCGCGGUGCAUUAGCUAGUUGGUGGGGUAACGGCUAACCAAGGCGACGAUCCUUAGCUGGUGUGAGAGGUCGAUCAGCCACACGGGGACUGAGACACGGCCCAGACUCCUACGGGAGGCAGCAGUGGGGAAUAUUGGACAAUGGGCGAAAGCCUGAUCGAGCCAUGCCGCGUGUGUGAAGAAGGCCUUCGGGUUGUAAAGCACUUUUGGUAGGGAAGCGGUACCGACAGAAGAAGCCCCGGCUAACUACGUGCCAGCAGCCGCGGUAAUUC
rnacentral:rRNA from 1 species